AUUGAACGCUGGCGGAAUGCUUUACACAUGCAAGUCGAACGGCAGCACGGACUUCGGUCUGGUGGCGAGUGGCGAACGGGUGAGUAAUGUAUCGGAACGUGCCCAGUCGUGGGGGAUAACGUAGUGAAAAUUACGCUAAUACCGCAUACGAUCUAUGGAUGAAAGCGGGGGAUCGCAAGACCUCGCGCGAUUGGAGCGGCCGAUAUCAGAUUAGGUAGUUGGGGGGGUAAAGGCCCACCAAGCUAACGAUCUGUAGCUGGUCUGAGAGGACGACCAGCCACACUGGAACUGAGACACGGUCCAGACUCCUACGGGAGGCAGCAGUGGGGAAUUUUGGACAAUGGGCGAAAGCCUGAUUCAGCCAUUCCGCGUGCAGGAUGAAGGCCCUCGGGUUGUAAACUGCUUUUGUACAGAACGAAAAGGUUUCUACUAAUACUAGGAGCUCAUGACGGUACUGUAAGAAUAAGCACCGGCUAACUACGUGCCAGCCGCCGCAGUAA
rnacentral:rRNA from 1 species